rnacentral:lncRNA from 1 species
GCUUAUGUGGUGGAGCUUUAGGGGUGCUAGUGCUAGAGGGCCUCAUUAGGGAGCUUAAUUUUUGAGUGGAAUUAGUAGUAGCAUUUAAGCUAGAUCUCUUGUUGAGAAAAUUCGUCAGUUUCUAGACUUGGAAUGGGACAAUCGUAGUUCAUUACUCUUAGAUUAUAUAAGAAACUAGUACAAUUGUAGCUCAACUUAGCAAUUUUUUUCUUCUUAAAAAAGGUUACAAAGAUGACAUUUAAGUCAUUCCAACUUAAUACCCCAAAUAAGUCACUAAGAAUGAUACAAGAAAAUAUAAAAAUUUAUCUGUCUCUUUAAAAACCUUAUCAAAGAUUCAAAAAGAGUACAUAGAUAAACUAAAGUACUAAACAUAAAUUCUUAUUCUUAGUUAUAAUCUCAUUGAGACAUGAGAUUCUUAGUAUUAUUAGCAAGUUUUCAUAAUCACUUGCAUUUUGAAAGUGGUGCUCCACACAAACACUUGUUAUGAAGAUAAGCAUACUUAUCAAAAUUAUCCUGCAAUCUUUUCGUCCCACCUUGAGGUAUCUGACCACACAACUUAUUAUAACUCACAUUAAACUGUUGCAAUUCCACUUUCGCCAAUUCAACCGGAAGCUUACCAUAAAUGUUAUUAUGAUUAAUAUCCAACCAUAUCAAACUCUUAAUCGGAAAUUGAACUUUCGAAAAAUCAAACGACAAUAAAUUCCUCGAAAUGUCAAUCUUUUGUGUCUUUUUCUUGCUCCCGAAAAGCACGGAAGCAUCGCCUACGAGCUUGUUCCUCGACAAGUCUAUCCUCUCUGGGUCAAUUUGGCCCAAUGAGGUUGGAAUAGUUCCAGAAAGCUGGUUGCGGGAUAGAAUAAUAUCUGGCCCGGGCUUUUUAAAUGAACCAAAUGAUUCUGGAAUUGUGCCCGUGAGCUUGUUUCCGUCCAAGCGUAAGGAAGUGAGUUUAGGCAAUUGAGAAAGUGAGCUUGGUAUUGGGCCUGAGAGGUAGUUGCCAGUAAGGUGAAGAAGUAUGAGGUUUUUAAGUUGGGCCAAAAAAGGCGGUACUGGGCCUGAGACAUUGGUAUAUUCGAUAAAAAGAUAUUUUAAAUUUUUGAGCUUAGCGAUUGUGGGCGGAAUUGGGCCUGUGAGAUAAGGUAGUCUAUGGAAUGAGAGACUUUGGAGGUAAGGUAGGUCACCUACCGAAGGAGGGAUAUGGCCCGUAAGAUUGGUGAAUACAGGGCUAUCUCUAAUAGAGAGGGAGAUUAUACGGUCUGUUAUUUCAUCACAUUGGAUGAGGUACCAGCCACAACAAGGUGUUUUUGGAUCCCAUGAGGCUAGAAGGUAAGGGUUGUUAAGAUCUUUUUUGAUUUGGAGUAACACUUUCUUAUCUUGUGAGUUGCAAUCUUUUAUUGGUGUAAUUGGUGUAAUUGGCAUGACAGAGAGAGAUUGAGAGGAUUGUGGAGGAGACGAUCCAAAUCCAAGUGGAGAGAGUGACAAAAGGGAGAGGAGGGUGAGAGUGAGAGCUAUUGUAGCUCUACAAAACAUGGUUUCUAUUUUUGGUUGGAAUAUUAUAAUGUUGAAUGAUACUAUUAAGUGGGAGAAUUGGUGUUUUUAUAGAAUUUAAUUAGAAAAACAUGCUAAACGUGACUUAUUAGUAUGGUGUGGAAGAAAACAGUGUAUGGAUAAGGGAAAGAUUUUUACUGACAAAAAGAUAAGGAAAAUCUAAAAUGGAAUGAUUGUGUAUUUUUGUUUGUUCUCUAUGGUAAAUACUAGUGGUAAAUAUUAUGCUCAGUCCAACUUAUUUCUAACUUAUUAGUAAUUCAUAAUGUUAAAAUAAAUUGUUUCUCUUUCAUGCUUUUCACUUUAUACAUAUUUUAAAAAUAUAUAAAAUAUCAUAUGACAACAAAUUUUUCAUAUUCAAAUAUCAUUUUUUUUUUUAUGAAACAUAUGUAAGUAUAGAAAGUAAAAAUUAUAAACGAAAUAGAAAAAAAAAUAAAAAUACUAUAUGUUAUCAAAUUCUAAAUAUGUGUGAAUUUUUUAGUUGAUGUCAUAUAUACCUCAUCAACUAAGUCUUUGGUUGAUGAUGUGUUCAAAGGUAAAACCGGUGGUUUACAUGGGCACACCGCACAUGGUUAUUCUUUACAUAUGUACUUCCAUCUGUGACAAUAUAAAUUAAGAAUAUAAAAAGUAUUUAACCGUGCAUAAAUCAAUAUUUUUAAUAAAAAGCAUGUGUUUCUAUCUUGCAGAACUUUUGGUUCUCUUUGGCCUCUUGUCAGUUUGUGGAUUGACUCCUCUCUAGUGACUGCUCAGGCUAUUUCGGAUCACUUUAUUCAAUUUACUAUUUCAGUAGGGGUUUCUUGUGCACGACGUUCAUUCAUGCAACUCAUAUGACUUGCUUGCGUGUGGGUUGUGUGGACUGAACGAAACCAUUGAUUGUUUAGAGGCUCGACACAUUCAGUAAUCAGAUGUUGGACAAGAUUAGGUCUUUCUCUUAUAGGUGGUUAAAAGCGACGAGUAGUACUUUAGUUUUGAACAGCAAUAAUUGAUGGUCUAGUCCUAUGUUUUGUUUGGACCUUGUAUAAUUUUCCUUAUGAUUUUAUUUUUUGUAUUUUGAUCUCUCUUGUAACUUUAUAAUCUCUCUUGACACACCUUAUAUUAAGUAGAUUACUUUUUAUAUAUACAUAUGUCAUUUUGAUUUGUUAAAAAGAAAUAUUUUUUUUACACAUAGAUUUGAGAUAGUACUACUGUACGGGUACUAUACAAUAGUAUCCGAUAAAGGAGUUAAAGUUGUAACCAAGAAAAAAAGAUAAAGGAGUUAAAGUGGCUUUCGUCCCACCAAAAUUUGUACUCACUCAUUUUGUCUACACUUUCAUCAAUAAUGUUUUCUUUUUAGGCCUCUCAUAUAUCUUUUAUAUCCCCAAAUAUUUUAAUUUUGCUCUUGCUAAAAACUUCGGUUCGUAAAAAUCGAAAUUUUUUCUAGUUCAAAUUCAGGGAAAGUUCGGUUAACAAAGAUCGAAAAAAAAUUUCAAGGCAAAAAAAAUUUGGUUCGUAACAACCAAAAUUUUUAUUAAAGGGUAAAAAUAUAAAAUUCAGAAGGGAAAAAUGAACCAUGACGAACCUAAAGAGAAAACAUCUUCAUCAAUCAUCAUGGGCUUCAGGGAUUGUGUUCUUCAAUUUUCAUAAGAGGUCACAUGGUGGGUUGUUCAACUUCAAUUAUUGCUUGUAGCAGUGCCAUUUUCCUACUAUCACUAUGCUUUUAUGCCAUGCAUGCUGUAUCGCAAAGAAGUACUAUAUGAUGGUGGAUUUACUCCUUUCCUCCCAAAAUAGAUCAUUGAAUACACCACGUACCUUCAGUUAAUGAGCACGCUACCUUCAGUUUUGAACUUCAUUAAUUAACCACAAGUUUUUUAGUUAUUGAUCAAGUAUACAUUUUUUAUUGACACUAGUUAUUCAAGUAUACAUGAUUUAGAUAUGUUUGAAUAUAUAAUAUGAUAUUUAACAAAUUAAAUGAUUGAACUCAAGUGAUUAAUAAGGAUUAUUUAAGGAACAAAUUGUUGAAAAGAACUUUAGUUUGAUUUUUGAGUGAUAUCAUUUUUGUCUGACAUUACUUACGUGUCUCAAAUUUGCAUUAGGGAGUUGCUAAAUUUUACGAAGGAGUGUCAUAAGAAAGACAAGAAUUGUAUGUGUAUACUUGAACAAAUAAAAUUAAAGGUGCGAAGUAGGUAUUUUUGAGUGAUAUUAUUUUUGUCUGACAUUACUUACUCGUCUCAAGAUUUUUAGUAUGUGUAUAGUUUAAAUCAGCGGCACAUAUUCAUUCUUGCUUUUCGUCUCCACAAAGCUUCGUAAAGACCAACAUUUUCCUUUGCAUUAACAUGAUCUCUUUCUUCUAGAAACUCGAGAGUUUUACACACACAAAAAAAAAACACACCAUAAUAUUCAUUAAACACUUGACAUUGUAGUUCAAAUAUGCACUUGAAAAUCAUAGUUAAUUAUGUAAAAUAGAUGGUUAAUGAGUUACAACACUUUCUUAAAUUCAUUAAUCAACCACAUAUUUAAAUUGCAUUAACACUUAAAUUAUUGUUGAAUUUUAAUUUCAAAUUAAAUAUUAUUUCUUUUCAAUUUCUUUUUACGGUUUCUAAAACUCGAUAUCUCUAGCAUUAUUUCAGAAAUUAUAAAAAUGUGAAAACACUAUUUUUAUUGUAAAAAAAAAAAAACAUUAAUUGUUCCUAACAAGUGAUUGAACUUAAGUUAUUUAGGUUAGUGAUGCCGUAAACAAGAUUGGUCUCAUUCACAAUUUUCUUUAUUAAAACAGGCUCGUAAAUUAACCUUUGAAAAAUAAUUCUUAAUUUUAACCAAGGUUUUGCGAAGGGAAAAAAUAAUAUAUCACAUUAAUUUUAACAGAGUCGUUUUUAUUAUAAAGUUUUGAAAAAUAAAUUAACAAUUUCAUUUUGAAACCACACAAGUUUAAAACACUGAGGUUAAUUUAUAAUUCUUAAUUUUUUUUGGAUUUCACCACCAAUUUAAUCUGGUUCGGCAAUUAGUUCUGGCAUCAAAUAAUUUCAGCCUAUUCCGAUUGCAGUUGCUAUCAUUCUUAAUUUUAACAAGCUAAGGUUUUGCGAAGCGAAAAAAUAAUAUCACAUUAAAAGAAACUAUAACGGCAGCUCAACUUAGCAAUUGAACUUUGUCAAAAGAAAAAAAACUUAGCAAUUGAACAUUGAACAAAUUGCAUGCAAAUCAUAUCGUACUCAAAUACAAACUCUCAUUCUUAUGUCUCAUUGAAAACAUGAGAUUCAUUUAUUGUCAACUUAGCAAGUUUUCUUUUAUCACUUGCAUUUUGGAAGUGGUUUGCCACACAAACACUUGUUAUGAAGAUAAGCAUACUCAUCAAACCUGUCCUGCAAUCUCCCAGUUCCACCCUGAGGUAUCGCACCACACAAUCUAUUAUAACUCACAUUAAACUGCUGCAAAUUUUCGACUUUCGUCAAUGCAACCGGAAUCUUCCCAUAAAUCUUAUUAUGAUU